rnacentral:rRNA from 1 species
UACGUAGGGGGCUAGCGUUGUCCGGAAUCAUUGGGCGUAAAGCGCGUGUAGGCGGCCCGAUAAGUCCGCUGUGAAAGUCGGGGGCUCAACCCUCGGAUGCCGGUGGAUACUGUCGGGCUCGAGUACGGAAGAGGCGAGUGGAAUUCCUGGUGUAGCGGUGAAAUGCGCAGAUAUCAGGAGGAACACCGGUGGCGAAGGCGGGACUCUGGGCCGAUACUGACGCUGAGGAGCGAAAGCGUGGGGAGCAAACAGG